GAGGUAAGAAUAACCUAUUCUUGAUUUCUAAUCAAAGAUUAAAGUGCGUAGUUCCACUUUUACCUCU
rnacentral:tRNA from 1 species